AAGAAAUUGAUUCAUCUUCCUUCUAUCCUGCACUAUCUCACCGGAUGUUAUCUUCAUUCUCCUCUCAGUAGUGAUUGAUUGAAAAAACAUUGCCAUAUUUGAUGAGAGAAGAGAAAAAGUUAACAAAGAAGUAUGGAUGCAAUGCUCUGAAUGUCUGUCCACAAGAGUGAUCUUCAAAUUUCAAUAAUGAUCACACCAGUUUGUUGAAGGAGACACGCUAUGAGUAAUUUGAACAAAUCACGUAUGCAUACAAAUCCAGCUAAUAGCAGUUCAGGUUCUCAGCAUCCAGAUCACGCAUAGAUCGAUUUCUCAAUCUCCAGUUCAG